AGUGAAGAACUGCUGCGCGGUUGAUGCAGGUUCAAAUCCCGCCAUAGC
rnacentral:tRNA from 1 species